UAAGGUCCCAAAGUCAUGGUUAAGUGGGAAACGAUGUGGGAAGGCCCAGACAGCCAGGAUGUUGGCUUAGAAGCAGCCAUCAUUUAAAGAAAGCGUAAUAGCUCACUGGUCGAGUCGGCCUGCGCGGAAGAUGUAACGGGGCUAAACCAUGCACCGAAGCUGCGGCAGCGACGUUUAUGCGUUGUUGGGUAGGGGAGCGUUCUGUAAGCCUGCGAAGGUGGCCUGUGAGGGUUGCUGGAGGUAUCAGAAGUGCGAAUGCUGACAUAAGUAACGAUAAAGCGGGUGAAAAGCCCGCUCGCCGGAAGACCAAGGGUUCCUGUCCAACGUUAAUCGGGGCAGGGUGAGUCGACCCCUAAGGCGAGGCCGAAAGGCGUAGUCGAUGGGAAACGGGUUAAUAUUCCCGUACUUGGUGUUACUGCGAAGGGGGGACGGAGAAGGCUAUGUUGGCCGGGCGACGGUUGUCCCGGUUUAAGCGUGUAGGUGUGUGUUCCAGGUAAAUCCGGUUCACUUUAACACUGAGGCGUGAUGACGAGGCACUACGGUGCUGAAGCAACAAAUGCCCUGCUUCCAGGAAAAGCCUCUAAGCAUCAGGUAACACGAAAUCGUACCCCAAACCGACACAGGUGGUCAGGUAGAGAAUACCAAGGCGCUUGAGAGAACUCGGGUGAAGGAACUAGGCAAAAUGGUGCCGUAACUUCGGGAGAAGGCACGCUGACACGUAGGUGAAGUGAUUUACUCAUGGAGCUGAAGUCAGUCGAAGAUACCAGCUGGCUGCAACUGUUUAUUAAAAACACAGCACUGUGCAAACACGAAAGUGGACGUAUACGGUGUGACGCCUGCCCGGUGCCGGAAGGUUAAUUGAUGGGGUCAGCGCAAGCGAAGCUCCUGAUCGAAGCCCCGGUAAACGGCGGCCGUAACUAUAACGGUCCUAAGGUAGCGAAAUUCCUUGUCGGGUAAGUUCCGACCUGCACGAAUGGCGUAAUGAUGGCCAGGCUGUCUCCACCCGAGACUCAGUGAAAUUGAACUCGCUGUGAAGAUGCAGUGUACCCGCGGCAAGACGGAAAGACCCCGUGAACCUUUACUAUAGCUUGACACUGAACAUUGAGCCUUGAUGUGUAGGAUAGGUGGGAGGCUUUGAAGUGUGGACGCCAGUCUGCAUGGAGCCGACCUUGAAAUACCACCCUUUAAUGUUUGAUGUUCUAACGUGGACCCGUUACCCGGGUUGCGGACAGUGUCUGGUGGGUAGUUUGACUGGGGCGGUCUCCUCCUAAAGAGUAACGGAGGAGCACGAAGGUUGGCUAAUCCUGGUCGGACAUCAGGAGGUUAGUGCAAUGGCAUAAGCCAGCUUGACUGCGAGCGUGACGGCGCGAGCAGGUGCGAAAGCAGGUCAUAGUGAUCCGGUGGUUCUGAAUGGAAGGGCCAUCGCUCAACGGAUAAAAGGUACUCCGGGGAUAACAGGCUGAUACCGCCCAAGAGUUCAUAUCGACGGCGGUGUUUGGCACCUCGAUGUCGGCUCAUCACAUCCUGGGGCUGAAGUAGGUCCCAAGGGUAUGGCUGUUCGCCAUUUAAAGUGGUACGCGAGCUGGGUUUAGAACGUCGUGAGACAGUUCGGUCCCUAUCUGCCGUGGGCGCUGGAGAACUGAGGGGGGCUGCUCCUAGUACGAGAGGACCGGAGUGGACGCAUCACUGGUGUUCGGGUUGUCAUGCCAAUGGCACUGCCCGGUAGCUAAAUGCGGAAGAGAUAAGUGCUGAAAGCAUCUAAGCACGAAACUUGCCCCGAGAUGAGUUCUCCCUGAGACUUAGAGUCUCCUGAAGGAACGUUGAAGACGACGACGUUGAUAGGCCGGGUGUGUAAGCGCAGCGAUGCGUUGAGCUAACCGGUACUAAUGAACCGUG
rnacentral:rRNA from 1 species